GACGAACGCUGGCGGCGUGCUUAACACAUGCAAGUCGAACGGAAAGGCCCUGCUUUUGUGGGGUGCUCGAGUGGCGAACGGGUGAGUAACACGUGAGUAACCUGCCCUUGACUUUGGGAUAACUUCAGGAAACUGGGGCUAAUACCGGAUAGGAGCUCCUGCUGCAUGGUGGGGGUUGGAAAGUUUCGGCGGUUGGGGAUGGACUCGCGGCUUAUCAGCUUGUUGGUGGGGUAGUGGCUUACCAAGGCUUUGACGGGUAGCCGGCCUGAGAGGGUGACCGGCAACAUUGGGACUGAGAUACGGCCCAGACUGCUACGGGAGGCAGCAGUGGGGAAUAUUGCACAAUGGACUGAAGCCUGAUGCAGCAACGCCGCGUGCGGGAUGACGGCCUUCGGGUUGUAAACCGCUUUCGCCUGUGACGAAGCGUGAGUGACGGUAAUGGGUAAAGAAGCACCGGCUAACUACGUG
rnacentral:rRNA from 1 species